GCGGCGGGCUUAACACAUGCAAGUCGAACGAACGAACCAACUUCGGUUGGUAAGUGAGUGGCGCACGGGUGAGUAACACGUAGGUAACGUGUCCCGGAACGGGGGAUAACAGGCCGAAAGGCCUGCUAAUACCGCAUAAGACCCCAGCAUCUUCGGAUGCAGAGGUAAAAGGUGGGGAUCUCUUCGGAGACCUGCCAUUCCGGGAGCGGCCUGCGGCCCAUUAGUUCGUAGGUGAGGUAACGGCUCACCUAGACUUUGAUGGGUAGCUGGUCUGAGAGGACGAUCAGCCACACCGGGACUGAGACACGGCCCAGACUCCUACGGGAGGCAGCAGUAGGGAAUAUUGGACAAUGGGGGCA
rnacentral:rRNA from 1 species